CAAUCGGCAACUAUAAAUAUUUCCAACUUCAAUGCCCAAAAUCCAGAAAUUGAUCUCCUUUAUACACCUUCUGUGUACAAGUUUAAUUAAGCUGAUCAUUAGCAACUAUCUUCUAACUCGGAUGCGCCAGAUGCUCAAAAUGUUUUAGGAAGGCCCAAAACAAAUUCUUCGUCAUCCCAGUCAUCUUUUCAGAGGGCUGGAGGCUCGUAUCUGCCAAACGCUCAGGGUGAUCUAGGUAGGGACGAUACGAAGUCUUCGUCAUCCCAGUCAUCUUUUCAGAAUGGUGGAAGCUCCUAUCUGCCAAAUACUCAUAUUGCUCUUGGAAGGGACACGAAAAAAACUGGGAAAAACAAGUGAAGAAUUAUAUAUGCAAACUGCUGCAGUAGGGUUAUUUACUGUAUAAUUGAAUUAUUGAUUAAUUUGUUGGCAACUAUGUGGUAUACAUAAUACAGUUGGUCAUAAAUAAGCACAGUUGCAUAUUUCUUUUUAAGGUUAGAACAUGUACAUUAUAAUUUCUUCAGUUCAGUUAGCAUUAUUUUAUUGUGAAAAUGGGUGGGUGCUGCUAAGAACAAAUCCCACUAGGAUGUAUCAAAAGAAAUGCAUUAAUAUAUUAUUUGAUUUUGUUCUACAGUUGAUGUGCAUAGAUUAAGUAAAAAAGAGUAGAAAGAUAUUUUAGUUAAAUUAAGCAAAAAAGGGGUGGAAAACUAUUUUAUUAGCUCCCUAAAACAUUUAUACUCCAACCAUACCAUUUAAUUUAGGGAGCCAUAAUAAAUAGGAACCAAUAGAAAUGGAGUUUUUUAUUUAAAAAAUAGUAAUUAAAGGUUGCAGUUUAAAGGACAACGAUUCUCUUCUAUUUUUUUCUUUUUUUUUCCUCUCCCCUCUUGUUUGAACUUUCAAUAUUUCAUCUUGUUUUUUCAUCUUUAUAGGGAGAGAGGAAAAAAAAUUGUGAGGGGAGUGGAAGGAGGGAGGGUAAAAGGGAGGGGAGAGAAUCCCUAUCCGCCUUUAAGAGCUUAAAAAUAAAAUUACGACUAAAUUAGACAUCAUUUAUAUACUUAAAAAUAAAAGUUAAAAAAUUUAACAAAAGUAAUAGAAACACCUCCAUCUCAAACACAAUUCCCAAACCACAUAUCCAUGGCUGUUUGACAUCUUCCCUUUUUGUGGAUGUUUAUCAUAUCUUUCAAUUUUUUAUUCCCUUCAUAAAAUAUAUAUGUGCUAUGUUUGAAUGAGGGUUUUCCAAGUUUCGAGGGAUUGAAGUCAAACUAUUGAGGAAUGGACCACAUAAUAUAACAUAAAGGCGAUUCGAAAAGACCUUGAUGGGCAUUAUAAAGGCAUGUCUGCACCGAUCCAACUUCAAAAUUCUAAGUUGGCCAAGCCUAGCUUAUGAUAUUGCGUAUUGGGAUUCCAUAAAUCUUGGCACUUUUCGUUGCGGAAGCAUGUUUAGUCAUCACCAUAACUAUGGUGUGUUUGCUCACCAUAUAUGCUUUAGACCUAGCAUCAUGUCCUGCUUUUCGUGUUCGUAUCAUUUUCGUGACAUACCCGAUAUCUUAACAGGUCGUGUCGUGUAACACCCGUUAAAGUAAACGGGUAAUAUGACCCGUUAAUAUUAUCAGGUUAUAUGAUCUAAACCGUUACUCGUUAAAGAAAACUAUGCAUGAGGGUUUGUAUGGUUUUUGAUAUUAUUUGAUAAAUUGUUUCCGUUGCUAUGUAUAAAAUUUGAAUUGUAUAUGCAUGCUAGUCAUUUAGAAAUCCAUGUGUUAAGCUCAUAAUUUUCCCUUCAAGUGGUAUCAGAGCCAAAGGUUUAUGUAUUGUGUCCUUAUGGAUUUUAUGCAUAUGGGUAUUAAUAUUAUGUAUGACAUAAUUAUUGGUUCAUUCAAAAUAAGUUUAUCUUUUGUUUUUCAAUAGUUGAAAAAUGUUAGUCAAUAGUUGAGAAAGGUAUGUAUGCAAAAUGAUGUUUUGUAUGCAUGAAUGAAAAUUGAGUUUUGAACUAGUUUGAGAUAUUAUUUCUUCAUUUAAAGUAUGUUUAUCUUUUGUUUUUUUUCAAUGGUUGAAAAUAUAAAUCAAGAGUUGAAAAGAUAUGCAUGUAAAAGUUGUUUUGUAUGCAUGAAUGAAGAAUAAGUCAUGAACAAAAUUUUGGGGUUUUGUUCUAUAUGGUUGGCACGGUUUUGGGGUGGUUUUUGGGUUGUGUUUGUGUUUUAUUGUAAACCACUCACACAUCCUUUUAAAGCUAGAAAGUAGAAACCUUGUCACUUUUGUUUUUGGGUUUGAAAAAUCACCAAGAAUACACAAAUCUUGAAAAUAUGUUCAUGGAUUUGUUCUUGGUGUUCAUGGUUGGUUUUUGGUGAAAAUGGUUUUAUUUGGUUUUCAUGCAUAGUUUUAUGGUUUUGGAUGAUGUUCUUACCAUCCAUAACCAUAUUAAAACUUAUAAAACCCUAGACUUGUCUAGGAGAUUUCCAUCACCUUUUUUCAUUAAAAUCAUUUAAACCAAAACCAAGUAACAAGUAAAUUUGGAUUUUUCUACCUUGCAUUGAAUUAAAGCAAGAUGGGUGAGACUUCCCAUCUCCCCUUAAUGUGGCCGGCCACCCUAGUGGAUUUAUCCACUUGGGGGGUCUUUUGUAAUUUGGAAAAAGAUAUUUUAUACUUUUGAGUAUUUACGGUUUGACCCCUAACUUUUUCUUAUUUGCAUUUAGGCCCCUACUAACUAGAAAGUUAAAAUAAUUGAUUUUAAUUUUGUUAGUUGUUUAAACUCAUAAUUCUAUUAUGCCCAUAUGCACUAAAUCUAAAUGUUCAUGUUGCAUUCCAUUUUGAUUAUUUAAUGUGAUUAAGUAGUUAGAAAAUGGUGACUAUGGACUUAUGCCUUAAACCAUAAUUGAGCUAUGAGAUAAGGCGCUAAAAUCAAAUUGUUUGAACCUUGGGAAUGUGUUUUAAUUACUGUUUUUAAUGGACCUUGUCACAUUUGACAUUAAUCUAUCUCUCCCUCUUAGUAUGUGUAAUUUGUAGGAAUUUGUACAAAUCGGUUUGUAAUUCUUAUUAUUUCUUAAUCUCUUUUAGUUAGUUGAUUCCCUCUAGUGCUAGACUAGAGUUUCUUUAACUAUUGGUAAGGAGACAUAACUAAAAGAGGGUUUUGACAUGAGAUUAAAGAUUAAAUGGGUCCAAUGCCCUAAUUAGCAAUGAAUGAUUGUCUUUCAUUUCUAAUGGCUCAAUGAAAAUGUUUUAAUUGGAUUGAAAAGCACGUAAUUAAAUUGACACAACCUCCCCGAGUUUAUAUUCAACAAUGUUGGCUCGUUGUUGCAAUAACCUAAUAAGUCCAUGGUCAUCCAAGAGCCUAAGAUAACUAUAAAGUCCAAUUUCAAAGGAAUGCAAAACCUUAGUAGUAGUAGUUACUUCCAAUAUUUGAAAAAUUAGUUUUUUUUUUUAUAUUGAUUUGUUUUUUCUUAAAACAAAUAGUGGGAGUAUCAUACGCUACUAAACUAUAAUGAAAAUAAUUAGUAGUUAUAUAUAUCUCCAAUAUUUUGAAAAAUGUUUUGAUAUUGAUUUGUUUUAUGAAAACGAAUAGUGGGGAUAUCAUAUGCUACUAAUUUCAUUAACUUUGGACUAGUAGUUGUAAUAGGACAUUAUUUAUUUGAAUAUGAUUAAAUAAAUAAAAUUGAUGAGACCUUAAAAUCCCUCAACCAACAUACAAUAUUAAGUUGAAAGCGUAAGAGUGCUUUGAACACUUUUUCGUGGCCUUCCACCGUGGUAGGCUCUAAUCGUUUAUGACUUGUACAUCGCCUUCACCCUAUCAUGGGGGAGUGCAAAGUGCAUGCUUAUACUCAGGAGGAGUUUAUUUAAAACAUUUGAUGAGGUUAAGGUAGGCAACGAGUGUGGCCAACAUCGUAUCAUCGUGAGGUCAUGCUUGAACCCCUAUCUAAACCAGCAUAGUGGGAAAGAACUUAACUAAGAGAAAUAAUACCAACAUCGUAUCAUCGUGAGGCAUUACUCUCUAGAGGCCAUAAAGAUGGGUAAUCACAAAAAUUGUUGUGAAUGGGUAAUUGUACCCUCUCAUUAUUAUUUUUGCUAGCCAACAUCGUAUCAUCAUGAGGUGGGCUUGGUAAUAGUGAGCCUCCCAUAACCCACUAGGAGCUUUCUUUUGAAAUCUCCCGGAUUCCAUCUUGGGGGAUAUGGAAUUUUCCAAAAAUGGUGGGUGGUGUCAUUCGGUUUAAAGACCCAAAUCAUUUGACUUAAUCAACAAUCAAACUAAUUAUUUUAUUGUUUAUGUAUUUAGAUAUGGUUGGAAGCACACUCGCGAAAAUACUCGACAAACAUUGCCUUGAGGGGCACAAUUUCCCAUCAUGGUAUCGUAAUGUCAAGAUUCUCCUAACCUUGGAGAAGAUUGUUUACGUUCUAGACAAGGCUCCACCUCACAUACCUCUUGGCCCCAACGCCACUGAGGAUGAAUGUGCUAAGUAUGACAAGCACGUGGAGGAUGAUACACAAGCCAAGUGCUAUCUGUUGGCUUCCAUGAAUGAGGAGCUACAGAGACAGCACGAGGGCAUGGACAAUGCAUCUUCCAUAAUACUUUAUCUUACGGAGUUAUAUGGUGAAGGGACGCACAACCGUCGCUUUAGCACUGUCUGUGAGCUUGUGAAGACCAAGAUGGUCAAGGGGGCUCCAGUACACCAACAUGUACUGAAGAUGAUAGGAUUCAUUGAACAAUUGGAGAACCUUGGUACUCCACUUGACGGGGAAUUGGCCCAGGACUUCAUAUUGGCUUCUCUUUCUGAUUCAUUUGCGCAGUUCGUAAUGAAUUACAAUAUGAAUAAAAUGGAUAGUACUCUCUCUGAGUUACUAAAUAUGUUAGUAACUGCCGAGAAGACUAUGAAGAAAGAGAACGUUGUAGGGACUUCUGCAGUAGUCUACAACAAGCCAUCCUCUUCCAAGGCCAAGCCGCAAGGCAAAGGCAAAGGGAAGGAGAAGAAGCCACCCUCUCCUAAGCCGAAAGGAGGAGUGAGGAAAAAGAAGGCAAAAGAGCCCAAAGGGACUUGCCACCAUUGUGGAAAGGAAGGGCAUUGGAGGAGGAAUUGCAGGUUAUACCUUGCAAGUCUUAAAGACAAGCCACAAGGUAUGGUUUAUGUUCUUAUCUUCAAUUCUAAAUGUUAGAUCUUCUAAAUAUUUAUAUUUGAUAUAAAGAGCUAAUCACUUGUGUAAUUGUAUAUAGGUGGAGAAGCCAAGUAGAAGAUGAACAAGUAAGGAAAAGUGGUGAAGGGUUCGGCCACUAUAUUUUUUGCUUACUACUUAGGAAGUUUGUUAGGCAUUAAAGAUUGUCUUUAAACUUUCUUAUUUUGUUAAGAACUUAUUAUGUGGCUUCAUAUGAUGGAAGACCACUAUUAGUGCCUAAAUGUAUAAAGGUAUUUAUAUUAGUCUCUAAAUGUAUAGAGCUAAUAUUUUUUUUUGUAUUAAACAUUAUGAAUGUUUGAAAUAUCAUAUUAAUGUAAGGUGAAGAAUGCCUUAUAAUAUACUAUUUCCUUAAAGUAGUGUUAUGAAUUGAAAAUUGUCUUGUUGUAUCCUAGUUGAGAUACAAGAGUUAUAUCACUUAUUGUAAUGUGAUAACCAAACUUUAGAUUUAUCAAUUAUGGAUAGAUCUCACAUGUAGGACAUAAAAGGAUACAAUGAAUCUUUAGAUUUGGUUCCAUUUGUCUACCUAUGAGUUCUAUAUGAAUUGACAAAAGUCUAGAGUAUCCUUUCUUGAAGAAAAGGAAGAUCACAUUAUAAUGAUAUAAGUAAUAAGAAAAACGUUUCUUAUAUGGUUAUCACUUGAAAACACAAUGAUCAAGAUCACUCUUGAUUCAAUUAGUAAUUUUGAACAACUAAUUGGGCAUUCUUUUAAAAGGUUUUUAAAAUGUCAAUGGUGUUAGUGAUUAAACCAAGAAAGAAGUGUCUAAAUCUAUAAAAUGUUUAAAGACUUUAGUCACUUAAUAACAAGACAUUAACUUAGUGAAGAUUGAAACAAAUAAGCUUGAAAUGUUUUAAAGCUACUACACAAUGUCUUCUUCCAAUAUACUCCACUUUCAUACAUUUUGAAUAUAUGAAAUGAUUUCUCAUUAAAGUCAUGAGAAAUAGUGGGAGGUGUGAAAAUGGAUAUAAACUUGAAUAUGAUUGGUUUAUAGUUGUCUAAAGAAUAAUAGCAUUUGACUAUUAUUAAGAGUUUGCAAUUUUAAUUGUUAAAAGACUCAAGCUCUUCAAAACGUUAAAAUUCUAUGUUGUGUGACAUUCUAAAGAAUAGUCUUUGAAUGUUGGUUUCGUCAACCUAGCAUAAAAUGGUUAUAUGUUGGGAGUUGUCCAUAAUUCUCUUUUAUGAGAACAAGCUAAAUAACCAAGCAUAUGGACAAGUUGAUGAAACAAAAGGGAAUAAGUUUCAAAAUGAGUCACAACAUAUGGUUUAAACAACAAGACAAACCAAAUUCAACAUCUCAUGUAACAAUAUUGCUCUAUGUAGUUUUGAUAAAGAAUUAUAUCAACCACCUAGAAGGAAUGGUUGAGUUUCUAUAUCCUUAGUAGGAGUCAUGCUUCCACUAAAGACUUGGAUAAUUCUUAUAUGACUACAUUAAAGGUCUUAGUAUGACUAAAACUUGAAGUAUGGUGUAUGACACCAUAUAAUUUAAAUGAAUAGACUUAAUGAAACAAGUCACACAUUUCAAAUGGAAUUACUUGAGAAGGAAUUCUUUUGUGUGUGAUUCAUUUAAGUUAGUGGGAGCAACAUUCAAUUCAAGAAAAUAUAAUUGUUAUUUUGAAUGAAUGCUAAGUUACAACAAGGCCAGUGGGAGUGAUGUCAUAAUUUGAGCAACAAGAUGUGAAUAAGGUCUAUUCGAUAGACUUGAUAAAACAUAGAUGUUACUCGAGAAAUGACAAAACAUGACAUGGUCAAUUUUGAAGUAUAGACUUGAAAUUGGACUUAUUGAUAUAAGCAAGGCUAUCUCAAUAAUGUUAUAUGGGAAUUAAAUCUCAAAUGUUGUAGAUUUAAGAAAGCAUUUUCCUAUGUGAUAGGAAAUCACUUUCAUAACCCUUAUAAUGAAUGUGUCAUAAAAUCACAAAAGGGACACAUGUAUUGACUUGUGAAGUAGAUAUCCAAAAGUAAAUAACCACAAGGGUUGUCACUUUAAGAUAUUACUAUAUCCCAGGAUCAGAACCAAAGCAACUGAAAGAGUAUUAUUGCCUUUAAGAAAGAAACAUCAGAGUGGGACUCUGGAAGCAUGCAUUCACUUAGGUUGUUAACCAAAGUGAAAAUAAGCCAUUUUAACAAAUGGAACUUCAUAAUGGAUGAAGUACUAAUCAUAUGAAUGAUUGUUAGUAUCGUACUACAAUGGUCUCAAGGUUGGAGCAAAGUUUGUAUAAAGUAUACAAACGAAAUAUAUGUCGAUAUAUAGUUUUAGAAACUGCUUCAAAAGGUGUUUUGAAUGGAAGGGGUUCUUUUAGAACCAAUGAUUGAAUCCAAACCAUAAGGUCGUUAGUAGGGUACUACGACGUAAUGGGGCGAUAGCUCAAGCCAUGGAAUCAAGGUCUCAUCAAAGUAUUCGAACACAAGAAAGAGACAUCAUCAAAUGUUUUGGAAACAUUUGAUAAGUAAAUCCCUUUUAAAUGAUAAAAGGGAUUAAUACAUAACCAAGUUAACCUACGAGCAUAAGCUCUCUCAACAAGAUGUAUAAGAUACACUAGUGAUUGACUUUAGUGCAAGUAGGAGAUUGUUGGAAAUAUGCCCUGAAAGUCAAUCUUUGGAAGAAACCUUUCAGGACAAAUGAAUCGAUGUAUGGAUGACUCUUAUACAUCAAAUGGCAAAGACACGAAUUAGGAUUAUCUCAAUAAUCGAUAUAUGUCCUAAAUAGUGUAUCCAUGGACAAUGGAUCGAUUGAAGAAGUAAUCUAAUGAUGUUAGACUACAGAGACCUUCUUCACAUAACCAUUGUGUCCAAAAGGUUCCUAGUUAUUGGAUUGUCGGAGGGAAACUGACAAUGCUUAGACCGGUACAUACUGUGUCCGCUUCAAAUGGAAGGAUGGAAAGUCUCAUCCCAUUCGUGUUGUGACACUAAGACAAGUAUGUAGGUGCUUAUUAAGAGAAUGAGUUCACUGAACGCAAUCGAACGAGAGUACUUGCAUGGAGGUCUACUCACAUGUCAAGCAAGUAACUCUAAUGGUUGGAAUAAUGUAAGUAGUCCUUUGACCUGAGGCAUCGUCGUUGUCUUAUGGCUAAGUACUUAAUCUUUGAUUAUGUCAAAGUCACCCCAUUCGCGGAUGUCCACGGCAUAAUUGGGGUUAAGCCACUUAGUCAUGAAGGCAAGUGAAUGCGCAACAAGGAAUCUCUAAUCCUCGAUUAGAGAGGAAGAAUACUCUAAUAUAUGAUUCGGGAAUCUUCAGCCGAAGUAUCGAGCGUAAUAAAGGAAAGCGUUCCUAUACGACUCAAUUGAAUCAUAUAAGAAGGAAUAAUCACAUUAGGGGUUUGACAUAAUAUAUCCAUACCCUAGUAAUGUGAUUGAGAGUAUUGUUUUAGAGAAUGAUCGAAUUACAUUGUAAUUCCAACUGAAUAGGUUCUCCGAACAACUUCUACAUUAGCUUGGGUAGCUAUGACAUAUGGUUAGAUGUCACUCAUAGCUUGUGAGUUCUUCUAGAUGAUUAAAUGUAGUCAUCAAAGAGGAAAGGUGAAUUAAAAUGAAUUUUUAAUUCACUAUGUGAUUGGAUUAAAUAUAAUCAAUUGAAUUAAUGUCAAUCACCUCACUGCCUUGCUAAUUAGAACCUAAAAUGAUUGUACACCGAUACACUCUUGUAGUGAGUAAUUAAUGGAUGAUGAAAAUAAUUAAUUGGAUUAAUUAAGUGUUGUGAUUAAUUUAGAAAGUCUAAAGAAAUCAUAAAAGCGAUAAAAGAUCGUUUUGGGCUUGAAGAAACGUUCGGGUUUAAUUGGGCCCAUUGGGCCUAAACCCAUUGGGCUUUUAUUCAAGCAUAGGAUGACUUGAAAUAAUAAAAGCCUAAAGCCCAAACCAAACACUAAAGGGCCGGCCACUUAAAGGGUUUGGGAGAGAUAUUUAGUCAAGUUGUUGGCUAGGUUUCUUUUGUCUAUAUAAGGAACUUUAUAGCACAAAGUUCAUUAGGGUUUUUGUGUGUUUAAAACAACAAAGAGGCAAAAGAAAUAUCUCUCUAAAAAACUACAAAGGCCGGCCACCUUGGGGGUGUUUUUACUAACACAUCUUUCACCCUUUUGGUUAUUCCUCCAUCCAUCUCACUACACUAGUGGGUGUGGAUCUUUAGAGGUCUUCUCCUUUGGAGACUUAAGGAGAACUUUGGAGCACUCUUACUAACAAAGUGGAGGAGGCAAGGAGGGAGGCUAGGCUCAAGGACUUCAAGGAGCAAAGGGCUUGGAGGUGGUCCAUCCUUGGUCUAAAAUCAAGAUCAAGAGGUAUAGAUCUAUUCCUUGACUUUGUUCUUAAGUUAAAUGAUUUAAUGCAUUAUAUAUAAACCUAUGAACCUUGAAGGGGAUUUGCAUAACUAUUGCUUUGAUAUUAUUUGAUAAAUUGCUUCCGUUGCUCAUGUAUAUAAAUUUUGAAUUGUAUAUGCAUGCUAGUCAUUUAGAAAUCCCAUGUGUUAAGCUCAUAAUUUUCCCUUCACCAUGUGAUACUGCCAUAUAUAUAUAUUCACCCAAUUCUGCCGAAAAUGUCUGCAACCAUCAGGUCUAGGGUUUAGGCCUAAAGCCUUUUCUCAACUGAUUUGACCUUUCAAAGCCCCAUACUGUAUAUAUAUAUCCAUGACGUGCAUACAUCAAGAUGAUAAGCCUCCAUUUAUUCGGCAAGAUUUAACGCCUUUGCCCUUUUUUGAAUCUGCCAAUUCCUUUUUGGAUCUAACUAACCUUGCCGAGCUCGGCAAUACAAGACUUUGAAUCUGCCCACACCUAUAUGUCCACCAUAGCAUUUUCUUGACUCCCGACUUCUGCCUAGACAGCCGAAUUAUUUUUUAUUUUUUAUUUUUAUUUUUUAUUCGGCCAACUAAUGCUGUUGCUGCCCCUUUUUUUUUUAUGCAUCGGCUUGCAUAGCCGUAUGUUUAAGAAAAUAACAUAUAUAUAUUGAACAAAUGAAAAGAAAAGUAGUCGAACCAUAGUUAGGAGGAGGCCAACAAUGCUUUAUUCCAAGUCGAGACCUUGUAAUAACAAAAUCUUCAAAUUGAUUUCACUCUAGGCUGAAUAAAGAAUUUUCUCCAAAUAUUUUUGACUCGGUGAAAUAUUUUUCAUUUUCGGCUGCCGAAUGUAUUGAACAAUUAUUAUGCCACCCAGGCAUAACAAUUUCAUCAAUUUCGGCUUUUAACUCGAACAACUUAGCCGAACGGGAUUUCCCCAUAUCAGCUUUAUCACCAAUAAUCAUGUCAAUUGGCGUAGUCUCGGCGUCUAAGACCAUGUCUCCAAUUACCAUAUCAAUUGAUGUGGUUUUAUGGUCUGAAGCUGUGUAUUGGUCUUGUUCGUCAUUAGAACACUCCUCUGACGAAUCAUUUUCCAAGUUGAUUUGUGACUCAGAGAUUUGAACUUUUUCUUCUAGGCCUACCACACUUUCAGUCUCGACCGAAAAAAUAGGUGGCCUUUGUUCUUCGGCCAAAUUAACAAUUUUCUUAGGCCAAAUAUUAGUUGUGGCCGGAGUGGAAAUUUGCCCCCCGGCCUCUUGCUUUUCAGAAAUUCUUCCCAAUCUCUCGAGAAGUUGUUUUUGCUUCUUUAAUAGGCGAUGACACUCAUCCCUUGAAGCCUGAUCGAGAUAGAUCAUGUGAACUUCGUAGUUUUAGCACUGGGUAUCACUGGGCGUGCCAAAAUGUUGACCCUAGAAACUACCAAACCUACGUGGCACGCAGGCCGAGUAAUCUAUAAGCUAACUACGUCCUUCGGUGAAUGCGGGGUGUGCCAACUCGUCGGCCGAGCUCGGCCGAGGAGUAAAUUUGUUGAUGUUGCGUUGGGUGCGCGGCUGACUUCUGCGUCUUGCGAUUGCGACCGAGGAAGGAACACGUCUCGGCCUCUUGGGUUCUCAAACCUGAAGACAAGGCUACUAUUCUUACGAAGUUCAAUAUCAAAUUCGGCUUUCAAUGUGCCGAAUGUAAUAACUUGUAACACCUCACUUCGCCGAGAAUGCUGAUGAGAUGACCUCGACCUAUAAGGAUUCAUAAAUCCUUCUCGACCGAGACUUGGAUAGGUAAUCAACCGUCCUCGCCGCAGUGCUGUUGAUGCCAACGGAAGAUGCUGCGAGAUCGGCUGAUUCUACGAUGACAAAGCUAUCUAUGCCAACUUAAGAUAUCACCAGUUGCUUUCACAGUGCUGUUGAUGCCAACGGAAGAUGUGUCAGCGAAAAAAGAAAAUAAAAAAAAUCUCAGCUGUUGAGAGAAUUUGCGCAGGGCAGUUGUGUGUUGAAUUGGAGGUCCUUGAUCGUUGCCUGCGACUCUGUAUUUAUAGUGACGAAUACGCACUGGUUGAUAAGCUGAGAAAGACUCCCAAACUAUUAAAACUCAUCUUCAUCGAAUCCAAGAUAAUCUGCAUGCUUGGAUAACGUCCAUCUAAUCAACCACCCAAUACAUACAUAUAUAUAUAUAUAUAUAUAUAUAUAUAAAACAAAGUUUUCACCUUUCCAAUGAGUUGGCAGACCUAAUGUCGCCAAUUAUAUAUAUAUAUGGCUGAUAGCAUUUGACACGGCAUACAGGCCAUGUCCAUCAUCAAUUUACUUCAUCUGACAACACCCCCUUAGGUCUCCUAUCUCAUCCUCACCUCAUCCAAAAUAGCCAUCAUCAUUCUGAUCAAACGAAUUUUAAAUUCAUUUUACUUCCAAGUGAUGUCAGACUUCCCAAAUCAAUUCGAAUUGUACUGCUUAUUCGGGAUAUGAAUCGCAUUCUAUUUAUCUGGUUUAAAAAAUACCAAGAUAAUUCAUAUUAAAAGAUAAUUAUAAUAUUAUCCUUUAACAAUCAAAUUAUCUCCACUUUCUCAUCUGGCGGUCGAGAAUCAUGUCCACUCAACGGCCUCGAUCGCUUGAGCCGAUGAUGUAAAAUCGGGUCCAAACAGUAAGGUUACAAUGGUAUUUUUAAGUUUCUCCAGUAGCUUGUCAUCUCCACCAGAUCUAUGGCAGUGACAGCUAGUGACCUUUGUAGUAAAAGCCUUUGUUUGUAGCCACUCUGGGCCCUUUAUGUAUUGGCCUCCUCAUUAUUUUGGGUUUAGACACAUUUUAUGUAAUUUUUUGUUUUGGGUACAAACAAUAAACCUUUAAUCGUAAUAUACAUAUGCACACGUGACAUCCCAUUUCCACCCUCCCUAUAUUUUGGGCAGUUUUCUACCUGCAUUCGUGUAAUCUUUACAAAUUGUCUGUUUGGACUUUGUUAAGUUUUUUUUGGUUGAAAAAAGGGGCUAAAAGAAAGAGCCCAAAUAAACCUACUCAAUAAUAAAUCUAGAUCGGGACAUCUCAAGUUGAUUCUCAUGAAUAAAACUAACUGAACAAGAAGGAGUAGUGUCAAAAUAAAAAUUACCUAAUGUAAAUCAAGACUAUAAGUCACUAAAUUGUCCGCCACAAAAUUCUUUUCUCUAUGAACUUUGUUAAGUUGCAUCUAAAGACAGAUGUCUUAUGAUCAUUAGUUGUCAUACAAUCAUUGCCACGUCAAUCAAAGUUGUUAGAAUAUUGCUAAGCUGUUAAGUGAUUUGUUAGUUGGUUAAUUAGUUACAACUUACAAGUAAGCUGUAAUGUGUUAGUAAUUUUUCUAAUAAAUACAUAAGUCUCAUUUCUCUCCAAAGUUUCUCUCUAGUUCUUCGUCUUCUCAAUUCUUCAUUGUGCUUUGAUUUUUCCUAAUGCAGUUAAUAGCCUCGUGUGUGCUUGCUUUCAAUUCAGGAUCAAAAUUAUGACAACUUAGAGAUUUGAGGCUUCUCUAGAUCGGCGGGUUUGGGUCCAUUUCACUGGAGGUGAUGAUACAUAAUGGGCUAUAGUUGUGUUUGGGUGGUCUUUUUGGGUUUUGUGGUGGAUGGCCUGCUUCAUUAGAUUUUAGGCGAUGACGGUGGGUGACCUUUGUAGUAUUUCUCUUAGUUCUUUGUUUGUGGUCACUUUUGGGCUUUUUUUUGUGUGUAGGUCUUUAUAUUAUUUGGGUUGAUGUCCACUUUAUGUAAACACCUUAAGUUGUGACGUCUCAUUUGCAGCCUCCUCAUUUUUGAGGUGGCUGGUCUACCAUAUUCAAAAUCUUUAUCCAUUGUUUGUUUGGACUUUGUUGUAAAAUCUCUAAUUGACAAGAAAAUAAAAAAAAAACGUUAUAUGUAUGUGUAUCCAAAUAAUUUAGGAUUUUUUUUUUUUAUAGGUCAACAAAUAAUUUAACCCGUUUCCCCAAAUUACAUGGGAUAACCAGCGUAUGAAGCCUAUACGUGUCCCUCUUUAUGCCAGAGGAUGAAGGGCUUAGAUGUUAUCUACAGACUCUCCAUGCAUGCAUUUGUGUGCAUUCAUCCAUAUCAGUUUCCUUUUUAACAAAGAAAGAAAAAAAUCGUCAAAGACCUGCAUGCAGUAAGUUGCUGCACAGUUUCUCAAAUUUUUACCAGAAACACAAAUAAGGGAUUGAUCGGUAGGCAAGACCGAUGGACAAUUAAGAAAUGAGAAAUACAUGUUCGUGAUCAGAAGGGGACGCGUCUGCCGAGUAAAGAAGAAGAACAAAUAAGAAAUAAAAUGGAGGAUUUAUGACCCAUGGAGCCAUGCCACCCAUGUCUGUGGAGCUACGAGGAUUGACUUUCAAUGAGAUUUAAGUCGAAAUUACAUGGUUAAUGUCGAAACGUGUUGACAUAUAUAGAUAUGUGUGUGUGUGCGCGCGCGCGCGCGUGUGUGUAUAAACGUGUUUGUGCUAGGUGUACGUUUCAUUUCCCACUGUUGUAGCUAGGAAACUAUAUACUGGACUUCGUGUGCCAUUAACAUGCAUGGGUCAUAAAUCCUCCAUUUGAUUUCUUAUUUGUUCUUCUUCACUCGGCAGACGCCUCCCCUUACGAACACGUAUUUCUGAUUUGUAAAUGGUCUGUUGGUCUUACCAACCGAUCAGUCCCUUAUUUGUGUUUCUGGGAAAAAUCUGAGAAAUUGUGCAGCAACUUACUGCAUGCAGCCCUUUGAAGAUUUCUUCUUUCUUUGUUAACAAGGAAACUGAUAUGGAUGAAUACACACACAUAUGAACGCAUGAAGAGCCUGUAGAUUAAGAUCUGAGCCCUCCAUCCAUUGGCAUAAAGAUAUACACACACAGAAAGGAAAAUUAUAUCACAGAGAAACAUCAGAAAUUAAAAAUGGAGAGAAAAUAUUUUAAGAGAAAUUUCCAAUAUAUAAUGUAAAUAUCCAGCCCAUGUAUUAACUUAAUUAAUAUAACAAACAGCCUAGUCAAAAACUUGUUCUCAUUUUCCAAGAAUAUGUGUGUAUGAUACAGGGGGAGAAAUCCCCCAAGCAAUCACAUGCAUGCGCAAUCAAAACACCGUCAAAGAUGUCUUCUUAACAGCAUUGCAUACGCGGCAUAAAAACAAAUUCAGCUCAGCCGACCACUCGCAUUCAACUGGAAACAUAGAAAAAGGAAUUCAAAUUAAACAAAUAAAUUGUGUUUACUUAUGCGGUCAGGUUACUCUAAUUUCCUGGUAGGUCUGUGGAAACCAAACUGCACGAUACGAACCCUAACGUCCCUCCCAAUCGGCUACUAUAAAUAUUCCAACUUCAAUGCAAAAUCCACAAGGUAUACACCUUAAUGCUCAAAUUUAAUUAAGCUGAUCAUUAGCAAUUAUGUCUGACUCGGAUCCGCCAGAUGCUCAAGGUGUUAUAGGAAGGCCCAAAAGGAAUUCUUCCUCCUCCCAGUCAUCUUUCCAGAGUGCUGGAGGGUCGUAUCUGCCAAACGCUCAGGGUGCUCUAGGAAGGGACAAGAUGAAAUCUUCGGCGUCCCAAUCAUCAUCUCAAAGUGGUGGUGGAGGCUCGUAUCCGCCAAAUACUCAUAGCGCUCUAGGAAGGGACAAGAAGAAAUUUGGGAAAAACAAGUGAAGAAUUAUAUAUGCAGACUGUUACAUUAAGGUUAUAUACUAUACAAUUGAAUUAUUGAUUAAUUUGUUGGCAACCAUGGAGGUAUACAAAAUACAGUUGGACAUAAAUAAGCACAAUUGCAUAUUUAUAUUUACAAACUUGGAAAAUAUUUGUCUCCAUUAUUUGGUACAAAUAUUUCUUUUCAAGGUUAGAAACAUGUACAUUAUAAUUUCUUAAGUUCAGUCAGCAUUAUUAUAUUGUAAAAAAGGGUGGGUGCUGCUAAGAACAAAUCCCACAAGAAUGUAUCAAAAGAAAUGCAUUAAUAUAUUAUUUGAUUUUUUUCUAUAUAUAGUUGAUGUUUGCAUAGAUUUUAAGCAAGUAUAAAGGGGUGGAAAGCUAUUUUAGUUAAAUUUCAAGUAAAAACGGGUAGAAAACUAUUUUAUUAUCUCCCCAACCCCCUUAGUGCACAUAUUAUCAUUUGUUCAACUAAAAAAGCAAACACUUAGUGCUAUGGUCUAGUGGUAUUCCUGUUCACUUAUGAGUGAGAGGUCUUUGGUUCGAUUCUCGCCAAAGCCGAAGUUGAACCAUAUUAUUAUGACAAGCUUAUUGUAAGGCGUAGCACCAACCAUGUAUCAUCCUACUCAAAAUUCGUACAUAAUUUUUAAUUUAAAAAUACGAAAUAUAAAAUUACAACUAAAUUAGACACCAUCACACCCUUAAAAAUAAAAGUAAAAAAUAUAACAAAAGCCACACAAACACCUCCAUCUCUGACAAAAUUCCCAAACCAUACAUCCCUGGUUCUUUGACAUGCUCCCGUUUUAUGGAUGCUUUUCAUCUCUUUCAAUUUAUUAUUCACUUCAUAGAAUAUAUAUGUGCUAUGUUUGGAUGAGGGUUGUUUUCCAAGUCCCAAAGGAUUGAAGUCAAACCAUGAAGGAAUGGACCACAAAAUAUAACAUAGAGGCAAUAUGAAAAGUCCUUCAUGAGCAUUAAAAGGCGUAUCCCUGCCGAUCCAACUUCAAAAUUAAGAGUAGCCAAGCCUAGCUUAUGAAGAGGAUGGGAAACCGAGUCCUCUUCUCUAAAAUUAGUAUGGGCUACUUGGAUGUGGUGUUUACGUCACUUGACAUUUUUCAGUUCAUCUUGAUUCAAGAAGUUUUCUCCUCGUACAGCUUGUAAAAAUUCUUAAUUAUGUGGGGCAUUAAGUUUCAUUGUGUGUGCUUGCUUUUGACUAAGGACCGAGAUUUUGGCAACUUGGAUGAUGGGAGGCUUCUUUGGAUCUAUGAGCUUGGUUCCAAUUCAUUGAAGGUGAUGAUAACGGUCUAAAAUAUCGUUAGACUCAUAAAUCCUCCAUUUGAUUUCUUACUUGUUCUUCUUCACUCGGCAAACACCUCCCCUUCUGGUCACAAACACAUAUUCUGAUUUGGAAAUGGUCCGUCUGCAUACCCACCGAUCAAUCCCUUAUUUGUGUUUUUGGGAAAAAACUGGGAACUUGUGCAGCAACUUACUGCAUGUAAGCCUUAGAAGAUUUCUUUCCUUCUUUGUUAACAAGGAAACUGAUAUGGAUGAACACACAUAUGCAUGCCUGGAGAGCCACAUAUAAUAUUACAAUUCGUUUGUGGGUUUCGAUCCACUAAUGUUUUUCUAUAUGAGUAAGCCUUUCUCUUCAUUUUCUUAAGCGGUUGAAAGUCAACAGAUAUACACACACACACAAGAUAUACACACACGGGGUCACAGAGAGAAAAGAAAAUUAUAUCACAGAGAAACCCCAGAAAUUAUCAAUGGAGAGAAAUUUUAUGAGAAAUUUCCCAUACAUUAUGUAAAUAUCCAUGUAUUAACUCAAUCAAUCUAGCAAAGAACCUUGUCAGAAACUUGUUCUCAUUUUCCAGGAAUAUGUGUGUAUGAUAUAGGAGGAGAAAUCCCCCAAGCAAUCACAUGCCAGCGCAAUCAAAACAGCGUCAAUGAUUUCUUCUUAACUGCGCUGCACAAGCGGCGUAAGAACCAAUUCUUCUCAGCUCAGCCGACCACUCACAUUCAGCUGGAGACAUAGAAAAAGGAAUUCAAGUUAAACAAAUAAAUUGUGUUUACUUAUGCGCUUAGGUUACUCUAAUUUCUUUGUAGUUCUGUGGAAACCAAACUGCAUGAUACGAACCAUAACGUCCCUCCCAAUCGGAAACUAUAAAUAUUUCCAACUUCAAUGCCCAAAAUCCAGAAAUUGAUCUCCUUUACACACCUUCUGUGUACAAGUUUAAUUAAGAUAAUCAUUAGCAACUAUAUCUUCUAACUCGGAUCCGCCAGUUGCUCAAAAUGUUUUAGGAAGGCCCAAAACAAAUUCUUCGUCAUCCCAGUCAUCUUUUCCGAGGGCUAGAGGCUCGUAUC
rnacentral:lncRNA from 1 species